rnacentral:rRNA from 1 species
GGAAUUUUGGACAAUGGGCGCAAGCCUGAUCCAGCCAUGCCGCGUGCGGGAAGAAGGCCUUCGGGUUGUAAACCGCUUUUGUCAGGGAAGAAACGCGCUGAGCUAAUACCUCGGCGUAAUGACGGUACCUGAAGAAUAAGCACCGGCUAACUACGUGCCAGCAGCCGCGGUAAUACGGGGGGGGCAAGCGUUGUUCGGAAUUACUGGGCGUAAAGGGCUCGUAGGCGGCCAACUCAGUCGGACGUGAAAUCCCUCGGCUUAACCGGGGAACGGCGUCCGAUACUGGAUGGCUUGAAUCCGAGAGAGGGAUGCGGAAUUCCAGGUGUAGCGGUGAAAUGCGUAGAUAUCUGGAGGAACACCGGUGGCGAAGGCGGCGUCCUGGAUUGGUAUUGACGCUGAGGAGCGAAAGCUAGGGGAGCAAAC